rnacentral:rRNA from 1 species
GGCAGCAGCCGCGGUAACACCGGCGGCCCGAGUGGUGAUCGUGAUUAUUGGGUCUAAAGGGUCCGUAGCCGGUUUGGUCAGUCCCCCGGGAAAUCUGAUAGCUCAACUAUUAGGCUUUCGGGGGAUACUGCCAGACUUGGAACCGGGAGAGGUAAGAGGUACUACAGGGGUAGGAGUGAAAUCUUGUAAUCCCUGUGGGACCACCUGUGGCGAAGGCGUCUUACCAGAACGGGUUCGACGGUGAGGGACGAAAGCUGGGGGCACGAACCGGAUUAGAUACCCGGGUAGUCCCAGCCGUAAACGAUGCUCGCUAGGUGUCAGGCAUGGCGCGACCGUGUCUGGUGCCGCAGGGAAGCCGUGAAGCGAGCCACCUGGGAAGUACGGCCGCAAGGCUGAAACUUAAAGGAAUUGGCGGGGGAGCACAACAACGGGUGGAGCCCUGCGGUUUAAUUGGACUCAACGCCGGACAACUCACCGGGGGCGACAGCAAUAUGUAGGCCAAGCUGAAGACUUUGCCUGAAUCGCUGAGAAGUGGUGCAUGG